AAACUUUGUACAGUAUUUUCUUGGCGUCACCUAGACGGCCUUUCAUAAUAAGCCACCUAGGAGACUCAGGCAUUUUAAGAAGGCCAACGGCCAAGAGAAGUGAAGGAAUUGCUGCAAUUCCUAACAUAAUUCUCCAACCAAGAUGAAGGUAUAAUCUUGAGAAAAUGUAGUUAGAUAAAUAACCAAGUAAAAUACCAACACUAAUUUCCAAUUUCUGGUAGAGAUGUUAAAAAUCCACGCGUCUUAGGUGAUGAGAUUUCUGCAGAAUAAACUGGUGCUAUCAUAAGUGCAAAUCCAACACCAACACCAACACCAACACCAGCAACACAUCUUCCACCUAAUAAUGUAAUAUAAUUUGGACCAUAUCCCAUUAAAACUGAACCAAGCAAGAAAAUUAUUGAAGCUAUAAUCAUUGUGUUACGUCUCCCAAUUGCAUCAGAAGUUGCUCCUGCAGAAAGUGCACCAACUAAAGCACAUAAAUUUAGAAUCCCUGCUAAUAUUUCUGUUUUGUGAUCAUUGAUUUGGAAUUCUUUCUUCACAUAUAUAGCAUGGCUCCACUCAUCACACCAGUAUCUAAUAACAAAAUAAAAGCACAAAAUUCUUGUUAGAAUAUGUAUCACACUACUUUUUCUUUUCUUAUCAACUAUAUUAAUAUUAAGUACAUGAAGUAAAAUCUCUAUGUUUUACAAUUGACUUUCUCGAAUUGGUUAAGCUACCCUCGCUCAUUGCGUUUAAAAAUAUCUUAGCAUCAUUGAUAUAUGCAUGCACAGGCAGCUCGUCCAUUAGACCACUUAAUUCUGGAAUGCCCAUAUUUAUAUUAGUGAAAUCUUUUGUUUGUAUAAAAAGGCAUAUUUUUAGGGAGCAAAUUUUACAUGAAAUCUUCCUUGGGAAAUAUUGACUGAAUUACUAUUAAUAUUUUUGCGUCUCAAAAGUUACAAAAAUAAAUUUUAUAUAUAUAUAUAUACACACAAUUCAAAUUAAGGGCUCUGUUAGAUUUGGCUUUAGAUCCCUAAUAUGAUUGAGUCACCCCAUAUGCAUGUGUGGUGCCGUGGUGGGAUGAUUCCAAAUUGUACAGUCGAAAAUCAUAACUAGUUCAAUAAUUCUCUGAUCAUGUGAAUGAAUAACUUUUGCAUGGUAAGAAAUAUUUUAUCUAGAUAAUUAUGUUAUCAUAUAUCUAAAUGUGAAUUUGGAUGAUAAGACAUAUUUUGUGACAUAUCUAAUAUAUAUGAAUUUGAUUAAUUAAUUUGACCAGUAAAUUUCGAAACCUGAUGGCUAAACAAAAAGAAGAAGAAGAAGAGGAUUUAAAAUAUUGAAGAAGUCUAACCAAAAAAAAAAAAAAAAAGAUAUUGAAGAAGGGAACUUACCAUAGCCAAAGAUGAUAGAUAUCAUGGAACCAACAAUUGCACAAGCACAUGCAUAUCCAUUAACCUUUGUAGGAUUCUCAACACUAUCAUCCUUCUCCAUAUUUUCUUCCUUUGUAGGAUACUCAACAAUAUCCUUCUCCAUAUUUUCCCGAUGCAAUAUAGCCUAAAUUAGAUAUCUUUUUUUUUUUAUAAGUAAACUACUACUAUAAAACUAAGAUAUGUAUAGAUAGCAAAGGGAACCUACUGAUUCCCUCUUUAUUUGUGUUUUACAUAAAUAAAAUAAAAUAAAAUAAAAUACAGCGUAAUAAUGUUGGGUUUGAAUUUAUAAAGAAUAAAUACUACAUGUGGAUCGUAUUAAUAAGAAUUACAAGUCACACAUCAUGAGUCCUGAUUAUAAGACUGACCUAUGGUCUUCCGCAUCUAACGUCGGGUUUAUAUGGAUAGCAUUGAUAUUAAUUUGGGGGUAUUCAGGCCAAUUUGCAUGUGUGUAUUAGCAACGGAACCUAUUUAAGGUUAAUAAUGGGUUCAACAUUUAAAUUCUUAUAGCUGAUAGAAAUUAUUUGUUCAAACUUUAAUAUUAUUUGUUGAAAUUUUGUUGAUUACUCUUAUCCGCUACCUCUGCAGAUAAAAUGUUGCUCACUGUUGAGUAUGGCUUAUUAAACGUCAGCUAGAUCAUAUGAUUUGUAGAAAGAUAAGUCGCAUCUACAUUAUUGUUACAAUAGAUCGAUCACUUGUGAGCCAAAGAGAGAACGAGAUUAUGGACCCAACACAAUUCAACACUAGUAGAAACAAACGAUAGACCUAUACUCAAACUUUGGUGGAGGAAUAAGCUACAAUUCGCUUCUUCUUAGCCAAGGAAGACAAUGUAAGCACUAGUACAAUCAAUAUCAAAAUUGGAUUGAUGCAAAAUCAAGGGGGAAUUGUUAGAAAAAUAAAGCACUUUUUAUCCAUUAUUCCAUUAGAUAACGAACCACCCAUUUAAGAGCAAUUCAAUGCAUGUGAAAUUUGAGCUAGCCAUAAAAAAUGCAAUAUCAAGUCGUAUUAAUUCCAACUACUUAAAACGUCCAACCAAAAUUUGAUGGUAUUGUGAAUCACUCAAAUUUAAAUGAACAUUAUUACCUUCGAAGGCCAAAUUAUUGGCAGUUGCAUGUGGACUAGAAGAAGGUUUUGAGCCGCACAUUGAGGCACGCUUAAACAUAAAACAAUGUACUUAUGUUGGAAUAGAUAUAAGCUUUGAUACUGUGAAUUACUUCCAAGUCCGAAAAACCAAUUAGUUUGUCUCAAGUCUUGAUUGAAAGCUGCUUAUCAAGCUUAAGACCAUCUCCAAUUUUACACUAAAUAUUACAUCAAAUCUUAUUGUGGUGUUAUAUUUCGUAUUGGUGCUCCAGUUAAAUACGUUUUUUUACAUUAUUUUGAUGUAUGAAGAGUGUCACGCUAAAUUUGAUGUAACACUAUCCAUCACCACUGUUACUAUUCAUCAAUAUUUUAUUAUAUAAAACUUUUAAUCUGACAUUUUAUAAAUUUAUUUUUUUCAUUUAGUGUAACGCGCCGAAAACGAGUCCCAAGACCUCACACGUGCUUAGAGCCACAAGUGAUCCCAAGCUAACCCUUCUACUGGCAUAACUCAAAAGCAACUGAAAUAGAUGCAUAAAACUAUACAAAAUCAACGGAAGACAACUCUUUCUGAAUCUGAUCAAUACAAAUUGAGUUCACAUGAUUACAACUCUGCUUUUACAAACAAACUGAAAUAAAAUACACUGACUCUACUGACUGUCUAUGAAACCUCUACUAGUAUGGACUAUAGAUAGUAGGGUCAUGACUCCAAACUAUCCUAACUCAAUAUGACUGAAUGAAGAAAAUAUAAUACUACACAAACUCUGACUGACUUGAGCCCUUGAAUAAAAAGGGCUCGUCCUCUGCUGGCGGGAAGCUGCAACCUGUCUGAUUAUGAUAUGUGAGCUAUGACUUGUAUCUACAUUAUAAGACAAUGUAGCACAUAGACAUAUAUGUGGAUCAACACUUUGAGGAUGUCGUGAGUAUAUGGAGGUGUAUUCAUUUAAAUGAACAAUAUCGUUACUCUUUACAUAAAUCAUGCAUGCAAAUAUGAAUGACUCACAUGGCUUGAAUAAAUCUGAAAUGUAAAUCUCAUAAAUCAUGAAUGGUGAAACAUGUAAUAUAAAUCUCGUGAGUCAUCAUACUUAACUCAAAAAUCUGUAUUCUCCUCUUAUUCUCAAAACUUAUAAGCGAAAGUAAUCUUUAAACAAUACUUUCAAAAAUCAUGCUUUUAUCUUCAGGUGAGAAGAACUUUAAAUCUUAAGGAACUUUAAGACCGUAACACUUUUAGAGACUUUGGGACGUACUACUUUGGAGAUCUUAAAAUAUUAACUUUCAAAACAUAUAUAUACUUUAUCUUAAAGAGAGUAGGGAACUUCUUUUGGGAGUUUCUUCUAACCGACAUAAACCAUGUAAGCUGACAUGGAGUCCAACGUCUUACCCACGUUGGGAAGAGUUGUUCUAACCUUGCCAUCGGAAUAGAACCUUAGCUUUAGUGAACACUAUCUUAACCCACUUGGGGCAAAUCAGAAACCUACGGUGGCUCGUAGUUCUGGGGCAUGAGACCUUGGAAUCAAGCCCAACUCGGUGCUAAAUACUACUCCCAUACUUGCUCAGAACUUUUAGGAAAUCCACCUUAAAACAAUACAAGGGUCUAAAAUGAAGACCAAUUAUACUUCUUCUUGCUUUAAAUCAUAAAUGAUGAAUAAUGUGGAUUCCUAUCUUAGCUUGUUUCAAAGGAUCAACUUUCUUUAUCAAAAUCUGAAAAUAGCUAUUCAUGGGAUACUUAAAUCCUGAUCAUUCUUGAAAUAUCAAGACUAACUCUUUGGGCUUUGAGCCCAUGCUUCAAAUUCAUAUCAAACACCAUAAAGUUCAUGCUUUAUAACACAGUUUUUCAUAAUUCAACUUAAAAUCUGGAAAAUAUAAUUAUGUACAUAAAUAUUCGAAAGUAGACAUGUAACUCAAUAUCCAAAUCACUUUAAAUCUCAAAAUCAUGCAAUUAGCAAUAUGGGGUAUAAACCCUAACUUAAAUUUCACGGAAAUCAUAUCAAAAUUCAGAAAUUUAUAACUUAAAGUAAGCUUUUGGGCACAAGAAUGAAAGAGUUGUUCUUGUUCAAACCCCACAUACCUUUAAUGAUAAACUUGGAUGAACAACUUGCUUAUGAGAUGAUAUUUGUACUCUUGAAUGAGGCUUCUUGGAGUUCUUAAACUAAGAACUUGGAAUCUUGACCCAACUUGGAGAAUUAAUGAUGAACUUUAGGAGAUUCUUGAAUUUGGGUGAUGAAACUUAGGGUUUCUAGAUGAGAGAAUUUGAUGAAAAAGGGGGUGUAAUUUGCUCAAUAUCACCCUUAAUCCUCUGUUUUUACGACCUGGGUUGAGGGGGGAAAAGAUCCCAUUGCCCCUCAUUAAUUUGAAGUAGAAAUUCGUAACCCGCAUCUCGAUUUUGCCCUUCAGCGCGACGCACUACCAUCGCGGCAGCUUACUGCCUCACACUAAAAUGGCUAUAACUUUUCGCUCGGGUAUCGGACUUUUGAGAAAUUGGUAUCGUUGGAAAGCUAAUUCAAUUAUCUACAAUUUGGUGGGUCUUGGGAUGAAAAUUCCACAUAUAUAAAAGGUUAUACACGUUUAAAGUAGACCCUUGUAGAAUUGAAAUGCCAAAUUUUGGACGAAUCUAAUGUUCUUAGCUCCACUUGGCUCUAAGUGACUUCUAUGAACAUUAUUCACCGAAUAAGGACUUCACAUACUUAGGAUUAAAGUCAUGACACAAGAAUUCGAAUUAUGGAUCAAGAGUACGACAAUUACACCUUCACCGCGAUGCAUUGAAAUCGCGUUAAGCUACUGAAAAGGACGAGUGCGAAUUUGCACUCUGGUGCGACGCAGUGCUAUCGCGUUGUGCCACUGGAAAUUGACAAUUGGGAAUUUGGACCUUUCCGCGAUGCACCAAUAUCACGGAGGUCCACUGGAAUGUGACAAUUGUCAUUUUGGCAUCCACCGCGACGCGGUGCGUGCCCAGGUGAGACACUGCAUUACUAAAAAUAUUCUAAAUUCUUCACCGAGUGUCGGAAUUGAGCGAAUUUGGUAUUGAUGGAAAGCCUAUUCAAUUUUCCACACAAUGGAAGGUCUAAAUCUGAAAAAUUCCGCAUGAAAUAAAGAUUAUUCAUUUUUUAAGCACACUCUUAACAUUCUAGGAACAAAUUUUAAGUUAGGAAAAACACGAGGUGUUACAUUUAGGUCCCUAAAAUACCUAAUUAUUUUUUACCUAAUAUCCUUAUAAUAUUAAUUUUACAUUUUAAUUUUGGACUAGGUGAUCAAAAUAGCUACUCCGUAAAGUCCAAAUACUUUAAUUGCAUUAAAAAAAAAAAAGUUUUGCACGUGGUGCUGUGAUGGUGACAGAUAAGAUAACUGUAUAACCAUAAAAUUAACCCUUCGUUUAAAUCUGAGGGGCUUUCGAUUGGUUGGGACUAAGGCAUUCCAUCAUUAUAAUGUAGAUAGUGUGAUAAAUAAUUUCAUAAUUAUUUAAUACACUUAAUCAAACACGGCAUAGAAUAAUAUAUACAUUUUAUCACAAAGUUAUUAUACCUUAAACCAUCCUACCAAAUGAGUGAUAAAUUAAUAGUACAAGUGUACAUAUACUAUCAAGAAAGUAUAAACAAUUCUUGUUGGAUCAUCUUCAAGACCCUCAAGAAUCUCCCACCUACCUACCAAAUUACCAAGCUACUGACAUUGUACAUUAUAGGAGAAAGAAAUGGAUGAAGAGAAAUGGUGUUUGGUGACUGGUGGAAGAGGUUUUGCUGCUAGGCAUUUGGUGCUAAUGCUGAUUCGCUAUGAAAUAUGUCAUGUUCGCAUUGCUGAUUUGGGUCCUACUAUUAAACUUGAGCCUCAUGAGGAAGAGGGUACUCUUGGACAAGCUCUCAAAUCGGGUCGUGCUGCAUAUGUAUCCAUGGAUCUUACUAACAAGUCCCAAGUCCUCGAAGGUCUUCUCUUGAAUCUUUACCUGCUUUUGACACCCAAGAAUCAAAACUUCAUGAUUCUUGAAUAUGGGUGUUUUGGUUUUAUUAGCAAGGUUCCAACUGUUUUUAGCGAGUGUAGAAUCAUUUUUUUUGCUAGUGGUGUUCGGGUCAGCUUUUGAGUACCUCAACUAACAGAUAACUCUGUAGAAUCAAUUGCAUAUAUAUGCACCGGGCUGCCUUUUAUAUCAAAUAUACACAGAUAUAAAAUGCAAAAACCUGCCCUGGAUGUUUAUUUGUUAGAAUUGUCCGACAGUUUGCCUCUGGUGAAAACAGAUUCCAUUUCUUCCAAAGACUUCCCUUUAGUCUCAGGGCAAAAGAAGUAGAAGAAUAUCAAAGCCAACAAAGAUACUCCAGCAAACAAGAAAAAAGAGCCUCCAGUUGUAAUUGCAUUAGACAAGGACAGAAAACUCAUAGAAACAGUAGCAUUCAUCAACCUAUUUACUGCAACACCAAUUCCAGCACCCAAUGCCCUAUACUUUAGAGGGAAUAUCUCAGUACUAUAAACCCAAGUAACAGGUCCAAGACCAAUGUUGAAAAACAUCACAACUGCAUAAGUUGUAACUAUACUUAGUACCAAAGCCCAAAUACAUUUCCCACCAGAAUGCUCAGCCAAUGUCAAGAAAAACCCAAGGCCAGCUAAUGUCACUACCAUGCCACUUAAACUUAUUAACAAUAACUUCCUUCUCCCAACUCUGUCAAUCAAGAAAGUGGAUAGUACUAUAAAUGUAAAUUUCGUCAAUCCAACUCCAACUGUGGCUAGUAUUUGCUUCCUUGUGUCAUGUACUCCUGCCUUGGCAAAAAUCUUGUGACUAUACAAUAUCACAGCUUCAAUUCCAGUUGCAUGUUCAAAGAAAUGAAUUCCCACACCAGCUAUUAAAAUCCAUCUUAGUUAUGGGGUUGGUCUUAACAACAAUUCUUUCCAAACACCUUCUGUUUUUGUCGAUUCAGGAAGUUUGACAAUGUCAUCAUUACAAUUUUCAUUGAUUCCUACAGAUUGUUUAAUAUCCCUGAGUCGAAUUUCAGCUUGUUCAGGUGUAUUAGAAACUUUGUACAGUAUUUUCUUGGCGUCACCUAGACGGCCUUUCAUAAUAAGCCACCUAGGAGACUCAGGCAUUUUAAGAAGGCCAACGGCCAAGAGAAGUGAAGGAAUUGCUGCAAUUCCUAACAUAAUUCUCCAACCAAGAUGAAGGUAUAAUCUUGAGAAAAUGUAGUUAGAUAAAUAACCAAGUAAAAUACCAACGCUAAUUUCCAAUUUCUGGUAGAGAUGUUAAAA
rnacentral:lncRNA from 1 species